UACGGAAGGCAGCAGUGGGGAAUAUUGCACAAUGGGCGCAAGCCUGAUGCAGCCAUGCCGCGUGUAUGAAGAAGGCCUUCGGGUUGUAAAGUACUUUCAGUCGUGAGGAAGGUGUUAAGGUUAAUAACCUUAGCAAUUGACGUUAGCGACAGAAGAAGCACCGGCUAACUCCGUGCCAGCAGCCGCGGUAAUACGGAGGGUGCGAGCGUUAAUCGGAAUUACUGGGCGUAAAGGGCACGCAGGCGGUUAAUUAAGUUGGAUGUGAAAUCCCCGGGCUUAACCUGGGAAUGGCAUUCAAGACUGGUUAGCUAGAGUCUUGUAGAGGGGGUAGAAUUCCAUGUGUAGCGGUGAAAUGCGUAGAGAUGUGGAGGAAUACCGGUGCGAAGGCGGCCCCUGGGACAAAGACUGACGCUCAUGUGCGAAAGCGUGGGGAGCAAACGAGAUUAGACUA
rnacentral:rRNA from 1 species